GACGAACGCUGGCGGCGUGCCUAAUACAUGCAAGUCGAACGAACCGCGACUAAGUGCUUGCACUAAGUCAAGGUGAGUGGCGAACGGGUGAGUAACACGUGGGUAACCUACCUCAUAGUAGGGGAUAACAGUCGGAAACGACUGCUAAUACCGCAUAGGACAUAGGAUCACAUGAUCCAGUGAGGAAAGGUGGCGCAAGCUAUCGCUAAGAGAUGGACCCGCGGUGCAUUAGCUAGUUGGUAGGGUAAAGGCCUACCAAGGCGAUGAUGCAUAGCCGACCUGAGAGGGUGAUCGGCCACAUUGGGACUGAGACACGGCCCAAACUCCUACGGGAGGCAGCAGUAGGGAAUCUUCCGCAAUGGACGCAAGUCUGACGGAGCAACGCCGCGUGAGUGAAGAAGGUCUUCGGAUCGUAAAGCUCUGUUGUUAGAGAAGAACAGCGCAUAGAGUAACUGCUAUGCGUGUGACGGUAUCUAACCAGAAAGCCACGGCUAACUACGUG
rnacentral:rRNA from 1 species